rnacentral:rRNA from 1 species
ACGAACGCUGGCGGCGUGCCUAAUACCUGCAAGUCGCACGCUUCUUUCCUCCCGAGUGCUUGCACUCAAUUGGAAAGAGGAGUGGCGGACGGGUGAGUAACACGUGGGUAACCUACCCAUCAGAGGGGGAUAACACUUGGAAACAGGUGCUAAUACCGCAUAACAGUUUAUGCCGCAUGGCAUAAGAGUGAAAGGCGCUUUCGGGUGUCGCUGAUGGAUGGACCCGCGGUGCAUUAGCUAGUUGGUAAGGUAACGGCUCACCAAGGCCACGAUGCAUAGCCGACCUGAGAGGGUGAUCGGCCACACUGGGACUGAGACACGGCCCAGACUCCUACGGGAGGCAGCAGUAGGGAAUCUUCGGCAAUGGACGAAAGUCUGACCGAGCAACGCCGCGUGAGUGAAGAAGGUUUUCGGAUCGUAAAACUCUGUUGUUAGAGAAGAACAAGGACGUUAGUAACUGAACGUCCCCUGACGGUAUCUAACCAGAAAGCCACGGCUAACUACGUG